AUCGUGCCAACGACGUUGUGCAGUCAACACCGGUACUCUUCUCCUGUCAAACUGUUAAUCGACUACGACGUUGGCCGACGCGUUUCUGAGUACCGCUGUCAACACGUUACGAUUCUCGACGGUUCGGCAGCGCGUAAUGGACCACCCUAACCCUUUCUGAAAUCAGCGUUCGGUAUUGCAAGCACGAAACUCGUGGACGCGUGAGACUGGCCCCAGUAGAAUAAAUGGAGGAAACAAUAAUUAACACUGUAUCGCUUAGAGAUAUAGUUCUCAGGGAUCGAGGGUACGUUCAACAAAACUAAUUGGAACAAAUUGGGCUCACCGAGAACGCCGCUUUCCGUUCGCUUUAUCCUUCUGGCGUUUCUCCUUGUACACAACUUCUCCCCGAAGUGAAAGGAAACAGUUGGAAACAGAGACGUGGGAAUGGAAUUGACGUAUAAAUCCAAGUUCAUCGAGGUAUUAAGGGUUAAACUAUCGAGCAAUAUGAGUCGCGACGCAAGGUGGCCCUCCCUCCCAGAGCAAUUAUUCCAGCCUUGACGGGUCGAAGAGUCGAUUAAAUCGACGAUACACAACGGAACGGUCCGUUAAACGUACCGUGAGAUUAUUCAAUUAAAACUUCGUUCCACGGUUAAUAAAAUCGUGGAGCCUGGGUAAUUGCGGAGAGAUCUGGAUUAUAAUUUCUGAUGAGGGUGGUCGCUGUUUCCCUCUUCAAAUGCGUUCUUGGGAUCGACAAAUGACGAUCGCUGAUUUGCAUUUAGUCCGGGAAGCGCAAAUGAACAAUGUUUGUCGGAUAAUCGAGUUCGGAAGUCGGUGCUUCAGGGGUGGGUGGGUGCGAGUAUAAAUAUUCAGUGAUCGAAGGGUGCGUUGGCUUGUACAUAUAUUCCAUGAUAUUUACGGAGUGGAUUUUUUAAAAAAUUAUUACAAAACUAAGAAGGUGGGUAAUUCAAUAUCGAAGGGUGAGGAGGUAUAAUUUUUUAAAGGUGCUUCAAUGAAAUUAACUGUGUGAGCUUAGGCAAAACUCGUCCUAAUUUUUAUGUGAUAUGUUAUAAAUUACAUUCUCUAAAUUAAUAUGUUAAAAGAAGUGGAUAUUCUUUCACAGUAUUUGACAAUAAUAAAAUUCCACGUAUCUCGUAGAACUUAACGCGUUCCCUGUCUAUCAAACCGCACAUGGCACACGUAUUUCUCAAGCCUGUGAUUGUACUAAAUAUAAUACUGUUUCUCUAAUCGGUGACGUAUGUAUGUAUAUAUCGAAACGACU